rnacentral:rRNA from 1 species
UACAGAGGUGGCAAGCGUUGUUCGGAUUUAUUGGGCGUAAAGGGUCCGUAGGCGGUUUGGAAAGUCAGAUGUGAAAUCCCACAGCUCAACUGUGGAACUGCAUUUGAAACUUCCAGACUAGAGUAUGAGAGGGGUAAAGGGAAUUCCCGGUGUAAGGGUGAAAUCUGCAGAGAUCGGGAGGAACACCAGUCGCGAAGGCGCUUUACUGGCUCAUUACUGACGCUCAGGGACGAAAGCUAGGGUAGCAAACGGG